AGUGAACGCUGGCGGUAGGCCUAACACAUGCAAGUCGAACGGCAGCACAGUAAGAGCUUGCUCUUACGGGUGGCGAGUGGCGGACGGGUGAGGAAUACAUCGGAAUCUACUUUUUCGUGGGGGAUAACGUAGGGAAACUUACGCUAAUACCGCAUACGACCUACGGGUGAAAGCAGGGGAACUUCGGACCUUGCGCGAUUGAAUGAGCCGAUGUCGGAUUAGCUAGUUGGCGGGGUAAAGGCCCACCAAGGCGACGAUCCGUAGCUGGUCUGAGAGGAUGAUCAGCCACACUGGAGCUGAGACACGGUCCAGACUCCUACGGGAGGCAGCAGUGGGGAAUAUUGGACAAUGGGCGCAAGCCUGAUCCAGCCAUACCGCGUGGGUGAAGAAGGCCUUCGGGUUGUAAAGCCCUUUUGUUGGGAAAGAAAAGCAGCAGGUUAAUACCCCGCUGUUCUGACGGUACCCAAAGAAUAAGCACCGGCUAACUUCGUG
rnacentral:rRNA from 1 species